CCCUUAGAUGAUCUGGGCCGCACGCGCGCCACACUGAUGCAUUCAACGAGUCUAAAACCUGCUCUGAUAGGGGUGGGUAAUCUUUUGAAUGUGCAUCGUGAUUGGGAUAGAUGAUUGCAAUUUUUCAUCUUCAACGAGGAAUGCCUAGUAAACGCAAGUCAUCAGCUUGCAUUGAUUACGUCCCUGCCCUUUGUACACACCGCCCGUCGCUCCUACCGAUUGAAUGAUCCGAUGAAUAUCAUGGAUUGAGGAUGCAAGCAGGUUCGCCUGUCUUCAUCUUCGAGAAGUGAAGUAAAUCUUAUCAUUUAGAGGAAGGAGAAGUCGUAACA
rnacentral:rRNA from 1 species